UACGGAGGGUGCGAGCGUUAAUCGGAUUUACUGGGCGUAAAGCGUGCGCAGGCGGCCCGUUAAGACAGGUGUGAAAUCCCUGGGCUCAACCUAGGAAUUGCGCUUGUGACUGGCGGGCUCGAGUACGGUAGAGGGGGGUGGAAUUCCUGGUGUAGCAGUGAAAUGCGUAGAGAUCAGGAGGAACACCGGUGGCGAAGGCAGCCCCCUGGGCCUGUACUGACGCUCAUGCACGAAAGCGUGGGGAGCAAACAGG
rnacentral:rRNA from 1 species